rnacentral:sRNA from 1 species
CCCGGGGAAGGCUCAAGUUUGCUCAGAAGGCAUCAUGCCAGCCCUCCUCGACCCCUGAGGAGGAGGAGAGGAUGAACAGUUUGGAGAAGCUAAGAAUUGCUCUCCACAAGAUGCAAAAGGAGAGAGAUGAACUCCAGAGAAUCCUCUCUUCUUACCCAAGGAAUGACCUAAACUACAGGUCUUCAAUUCUCCAUCAGAAGCUUGAAUAGUGCACAGACCAGGACUACAUCUCUCUGUGACAGAACUGUCCACCAGGAGCACUGAGUGUGCAAAGAAUGUCAACAACUCCCCCAUCUCAGUCCUAAUAACCAUAGCAAUCUUAGGGUGCAUUUUGUUCUUUACUUUGCUUUCCUAUGUGUGAGGGUCCUUCAUGAUCAGUCAGGCAAAUUUCAAAGACCUUGAGAUAUUGCCUGUAACAUUCUCAUGCUUAACCUUUGGAGGACAUGUCCAUCAGCAACCCACCACACCCUUUGAGGCAGGUCUACACUGAUCUUCAAGAGAUUAUUACCAUCUUGCCUGCCUUUCUGCUUUGUUUGCAAGGCCAGCAGCAGGCUGUGGUGUACGUAACAAAUCUGCAGCAGUCAAGUGCUGCUCCUCUCACCUGUUUUCUUUUGUUUCUGGUUAGAAGUUUGAUUGCUUUAGGUUUUGCUUUGUUUU